CCUACGGGAGGCAGCAGUGGGGAAUUUUGGACAAUGGACGCAAGUCUGAUCCGGCCAUUCCGCGUGCAGGAUGAAGGCCCUCGGGUUGUAAACUGCUUUUGUACAGAACGAAAAGGCUCUGGUUAAUACCUGGGGCUCAUGACGGUACUGUAAGAAUAAGCACCGGCUAACUACGUGCCAGCAGCCGCGGUAAU
rnacentral:rRNA from 1 species